UCUCCGUUGGUGAACCAGCGGAGGGAUCAUUACAGGAUCGAAAGACUCCUAUAACCCCUGUGAACUUACUACAAAUACGUUGCUUCGGUGGGUGCCCCGGGUCUCCCGGGGCGUUCAGCCCGCCGGCAGCCUUCAAAUUCUGUUUCUUUGCGUUGGCAUCUCGAGUAUACAAAAAUAAGUUAAAACUUUCAACAACGGAUCUCUUGGUUCUG
rnacentral:misc_RNA from 1 species